rnacentral:rRNA from 1 species
CCCUACGGGAGGCAGCAGUGGGGAAUAUUGCACAAUGGGCGAAAGCCUGAUGCAGCGACGCCGCGUGAGCGAAGAAGUAUUUCGGUAUGUAAAGCUCUAUCAGCAGGGAAGAAAAUGACGGUACCUGACCAGGAAGCCCCGGCUAACUACGUGCCAGCAGCCGCGGUAAUACGUAGGGGGCAAGCGUUAUCCGGAUUUACUGGGUGUAAAGGGGGCGCAGACGGCAAUGCAAGCCAGGAGUGAAAGCCCGGGGCCCAACCCCGGGACUGCUCUUGGAACUGCAUGGCUGGAGCACAGGAGGGGCG